rnacentral:rRNA from 1 species
UACGGAGGGGGCUAGCGUUGUUCGGAUUUACUGGGCGUAAAGCGCACGUAGGCGGAUCGUUAAGUCGGGGGUGAAAUCCUGGAGCUCAACUCCAGAACUGCCUUCGAUACUGGCGAUCUUGAGUCCGGAAGAGGUGAGUGGAACUCCUAGUGUAGAGGUGGAAUUCGUAGAUAUUAGGAAGAACACCAGUGGCGAAGGCGGCUCACUGGUCCGGUACUGACGCUGAGGUGCGAAAGCGUGGGGAGCAAACAGG